rnacentral:rRNA from 1 species
AAUAGAUACCCUGGUAGUCCACGCCGUAAACGAUGAGUGCUAAGUGUUAGAGGGUUUCCGCCCUUUAGUGCUGAAGUUAACGCAUUAAGCACUCCGCCUGGGGAGUACGGUCGCAAGACUGAAACUCAAAGGAAUUGACGGGGGCCCGCACAAGCGGUGGAGCAUGUGGUUUAAUUCGAAGCAACGCGAAGAACCUUACCAGGUCUUGACAUCCCGCUGACCGCCAUGGAGACAUGGCUUUCCCUUCGGGGACAGCGGUGACAGGUGGUGCAUGGUUGUCGUCAGCUCGUGUCGUGAGAUGUUGGGUUAAGUCCCGCAACGAGCGCAACCCUUGUCCUUAGUUGCCAUCAUUCAGUUGGGCACUCUAAGGAGACUGCCGUACAAAUACGGAGGAAGGUGGGGAUGACGUCAAAUCAUCAUGCCCCUUAUGACCUGGGCUACACACGUGCUACAAUGGGCAGUACAAAGGGCUGCGAACCCGCGAGGGGGAGCCAAUCCCAAAAAAGCUGCUCUCAGUUCGGAUUGCAGG